AACAGGGUUGAAAUAUUCAUUUCACGGAUUCUGUUCAUGUGUUCUGUUUUAAAUGUUAUUAUUUCCAUAUAACGCAUUGUGUUUACCUGGGUUACUUAUUAAGCUGUGCUCCUGUGGCCAGUCUUAGAGUUAAAGUCAGUCAAGCAUGUGAGUUACACAUGUCCAGUUUAUAUAAUUGUUCAGUCAGGCUUGACCAGUUAUUUUCCCGCCCUUUCCUUUGUCUUCUGGACACUUCUAACUUGAACACAGAGCUGUACACAUCUACUUUUAAGAGGUACAUUUAUAGUACAGAGUUGCCAUUACUUCAAUAUAAGGUUAGUUCUAUUUCUACCUGUUUGCAUUUACUCUUUCUUGUAUUUGCAUUGAGUUGUAUUUAUGUUGUGAGUUGAUAUAACUCAUAUUUGAUAAGUAAUUAGGUUAAAUUCAGAAAAGCAGCAUUGCCAUCCUAAACGUGCUAACGAUUCCUAUAAUUCACAGUUUCCCAUACUCUUCACAUGUAUAAUCUUAUUUGCAGCAGUAGCACAACACCCGCAGAGAAUUGUAUAAGAUUGAGAGAGAGUUCCGUACACAUUCCACAAAUGUGACAUGGAAUUCGUAUAAUAAUAAAGACGAAUACAACAUA